rnacentral:rRNA from 1 species
UGAGGAAUUUUGCGCAAUGGGCGAAAGCCUGACGCAGCAACGCCGCGUGGGGGAUGAAGGCUCUCGGGUUGUAAACCCCUUUUCUCGGGGAAGAUGAUGACGGUACCCGAGGAAUAAGUCACGGCAAACUACGUGCCAGCAGCCGCGGUAAUACGUAGGUGGCAAGCGUUGUCCGGAUUUACUGGGCGUAAAGCGCGCGUAGGCGGCUUUCUAAGUCUAUGGUGAAAUCUCCUGGCUUAACUGGGAGGAGUCUGUGGAUACUGGAAGGCUUGAGUGUCGCAGAGGAAAGUAGAAUUCCCGGUGGAGUGGUGAAAUGCGUAGAUAUCGGGAGGAAUACCAGAGGCGUAAGCGGCUUUCCAGGCGAUUACUGACGCUGAGGCGCGAAAGCGUGGGGAGCAAACCGG